rnacentral:piRNA from 1 species
UGGCCGGUUUUGGGCCAGUUUAUGGCCAGA